AAUAAACUAAAACUUUCAACAACGGAUCUCUUGGUUCUGGCAUCGAUGAAGAACGCAGCGAAAUGCGAUAAGUAAUGUGAAUUGCAGAAUUCAGUGAAUCAUCGAAUCUUUGAACGCACAUUGCGCCCCUUGGUAUUCCGGGGGGCAUGCCUGUUC
rnacentral:rRNA from 1 species